AAGUCGUAACAAGGUUUCCGUAGGUGAACCUGCGGAAGGAUCAUUACAGAGUGAUGCCAGUUCAUCUGGCAACCUCCAACCCAAUGUUUCAAAACAAUGAUAAAUUUUAAAAUACUAAAACUUUCAACAACGGAUCUCUUGGUUCUG
rnacentral:misc_RNA from 1 species